AUAUAUAUAUAUACAGAUAUAUAUGUAUGUGCGUGUGUGAGAGAGAGAGAGAGAGAGGAGAGAGAGAGAGAGAGAGAGAGUGUGUGUGUGUGUGUGUGUGUGUGUGGUAGAGUGAAUAUAGUUUUACAUUGUGCCUCUACUUUCUGUCAAAAUGACUCAGAACAUUUAAAAACCCAUCCUUCGAUUAAUAUUUUCAUUUCUUCUCAUGUGUGUAUCAUUUUAUUCUAUUCUUUUCAGUACGUAUUUAUUUUUCAAGUGAAUUUUUAAUACUUCAUUACACUAUGCAUGCUAAUUGCAUUUUUUUUUGUACUAGUAUUAAAAUACAAAUUAAAUACAGUUGUAAUCGGGAUGUUUGUGUCAGUCUAUGGUAACGAGAUAUCCUAAGUUACAAAUCCGAAGAACAACAAACAGAAAUCGGUGCCAUGUAAUUAAUUUCAUGUUUAAGAAAGAAAGAGAGGAAAGAACGUUUCGAACUGCGGUUCUUCGUCAUUAAAAAACGGUAAUGAAAAUCGUAGAGGACAAAUUUCUGUAGAAACGGUGUUUUACGAUGGAAUUCAUAUGGCGUAAUGAAUUAAUUGAAGCGUAUAAAGGGAAAAUGGUGCUCUUCAGCCAAACGAGCGUAUUUCAAACGAGAUAAUGUACAAAGGUAAGCUUGUGUGUGUAGAUGGGGAAGAGGCUAUUGGGCCAAUAGGGGUGAGUUGUGAGAGUACGUUCUGUGAGUGUAGGUAAAUGUGUUCGAUAACUUAUGUGAGCGCCUUGUGCACCGAUCCUUUAGAGAGACUCGGUGAACUGGUGAAGAUUUGGGUCUCUGUAAUCCAACAAACACGUUGGCAUAUUUAGAAUCUUCCUGGUUCCCAUGACCGUCCAGUGACCGGCUCAAUAAAGAAAAAGCAAUUGAGGAUAAGGACGUGUUCGGUUAAGCAGAAAAGUGUAUUGAGCUUGAUCGUGGGGCAAGGCUCAAUGAAGUAUUUUAAGUAUUUUAAGAACAUCCUCAUGAAGAAAGGCAAUUUUAAAGGAUUUGAUGUUUAUAUUGCAAAGGAACCGGGCUUACGGGUGAAAGAGGACUUAAGGUGGUGGUGAGCGUGGCUGAUGUCGUGGAUGUACAAUGGAAAGGCUACAACCAAAAGGGUAAAAAUUGCUCUAUGUAUUUGAUGAUGAGUUCAGUAAGAUAUUUGCCAGUUGGAAACAAUGCAUUCACUUUUUGGCCUGCACAGAACGGUAUUUCUUAUACUAAAUUUUUUGUGGAUUGUCUGUCAGAGAUUGACUGAACGUUUAAGGGAGUGCGCCUUUUAUACACUCAAUGUAACUACACAGGACCACUUCGACCUGUGACACGUGACUAAUCACACCACGCUAUUUCGCAUCUUGGAUCAACUAUUUACCGCUUGCACCGUGAACAGUAGCCAACCAUCCUUCUACGCACAGCUCGUCCAACUGAUAUUAAUAACCAGCAUUUGCACUUCACAUUUCCUUCUUCUCUACACACUAACAAGCAUGUCCAUUAGCCAUUUAUUGUGCACGCACGCAUGAACACACACACACACACACACACCCACGCUCACACACAUUUACAUACGUGCUUCUACCAUUAUGUUUCAAUCAUGCUAAAUACUCGCCAGACAUUCAUAUUACAUGCUCAUACGCUUCACACCACAAAUGCAUACGCGCCUACACAUACAUGCAAGCAUAUUCUCAUACUUUAUCUGUCUUGGCUCUAUCAUACAUGUACAUACGCCUCUCACAUACGAGCACGUUCCAUGGUUAAAAUAAUACCCUUUGGCUGAAAAACACCCCCACAAAUCUAUUUCUGUUAAUCAUUUAAUUAAUUUCAUUAUGUAGCAUUCAUCGUAAAACAUUGCUUUCGCGGAACCUUCUUAAACCGUUCCCUUCCCUCAAAGACUACUGUCUGAUAUCCUGAACACUCCUCUGUUUCUUUCUUACGAUAUAAAUUAAUUAUCUUGUUCUACUAUAUUUUCUUCUUAGUCUUUUUUCUUUUUUCUCACAUUUACAUGUUUGUGUGUGGAGAGAGAGAGAGAGAGAGAUUUGUGCGAGAUUUUAAUUCAUGGAAUCAUGCGACUAUCACAGUAAGCGCCUCUUACGAAUACGGCUAUCAGUCUAUGCAGGAAUCAAUUACAAAGAGGUGCAAUAUAAAUUGUCCAUGUAACUGAAAAUCCUGAAAAGCCGAGAGAUAAUUUUAUUUUGUGAGGAGUAUGUAAAACAUAAAGUCAAGAGGUAUGAAAGGUGAAUAUGGAUUUAUUUAAUUGCGUGAGUUCCAUAGAAUUCCAUAGCAACUUUCAUCAUGUAGUAAUAAUUUCAGUUUACAAGAAACUAUAUGUACGUAUUUGCAUUGAUACAGAUGCUCAACAUUAUGCAUUACAAUUGUAUAUUCACAAAUUAACGCAAAUAAAAAAAAAUGCUGGCUCGUCAGAUUCCCA